GACGAACGCUGGCGGCGUGCUUAACACAUGCAAGUCGAACGGAAAGGCCCUGCUUUUGUGGGGUGCUCGAGUGGCGAACGGGUGAGUAACACGUGAGUAACCUGCCCUUGACUUUGGGAUAACUUCAGGAAACUGGGGCUAAUACCGGAUAGGAUCUCCUGCUUCAUGGUGGGGGUUGGAAAGUUUCGGCGGUUGGGGAUGGACUCGCGGCUUAUCAGCUUGUUGGUUUGGUAGUGGCUUACCAAGGCUUUGACGGGUAGCAGGGCUGAGAGGGUGACCGGACCAAUUGGGCUGGGGAUAAGGCACAGCCUACAACGGUAGGCAGCAGAGGGGAAUAUUGCACUAUGGGAGGAAGGCUGAUGCAGCAAAGCAGCGUGCGGGAUGACGGCCAUCGGGUUGUAAACCGAUUUCGCCUUUGACGAAGCGUGAGUGACGGUAAUGGGUAAAGAAGCACCGGCUAACUACGUG
rnacentral:rRNA from 1 species